rnacentral:rRNA from 1 species
ACGUAGGGUGCAAGCGUUGUCCGGAAUUAUUGGGCGUAAAGAGCUCGUAGGCGGUUUGUCGCGUCUGCUGUGAAAACUGGAGGCUCAACCUCCAGCCUGCAGUGGGUACGGGCAGACUAGAGUGCGGUAGGGGAGAUUGGAAUUCCUGGUGUAGCGGUGGAAUGCGCAGAUAUCAGGAGGAACACCGAUGGCGAAGGCAGAUCUCUGGGCCGUAACUGACGCUGAGGAGCGAAAGCAUGGGGAGCGAACAGGAUUAGAUACCCUGGUAGUCCAUGCCGUAAACGUUGGGAACUAGAUGUGGGGACCAUUCCACGGUCUCCGUGUCGCAGCUAACGCAUUAAGUUCCCCGCCUGGGGAGUACGGCCGCAAGGCUA